rnacentral:rRNA from 1 species
CUACGGGCCGCAGCAGUGAGGAAUAUUGCGCAAUGGGGGAAACCCUGACGCAGCGACGCCGCGUGGAUGAUGAAGGCCUUCGGGUCGUAAAAUCCUGUCAGAAGGAAAGAAGUGUAUGGUAGCUAAUAUCUGCCAUACUUGACGGUACCUUCAAAGGAAGCACCGGCUAACUCCGUGCCAGCAGCCGCGGUAAUACGGAGGGUGCAAGCGUUGUUCGGAAUUACUGGGCGUAAAGCGCGCGUAGGCGGUUUUAUAAGUCAGAUGUGAAAGUCCACGGCUCAACCAUGGAAGUGCAUUUGAAACUGUACGACUUGAGUAUUGGAGGGGGUAGUGGAAUUCCCGGUGUAGAGGUGAAAUUCGUAGAUAUCGGGAGGAAUACCGGUGGCGAAGGCGACUAUCUGGCCAAAUACUGACGCUGAGGUGCGAAAGCGUGGGGAGCAAACAGGAUUAGAUACCCCCGUAGUC